rnacentral:rRNA from 1 species
AUUGAACGCUGGCGGCAGGCCUAACACAUGCAAGUCGAACGAGUGGCGGACGGGUGAGUAAUGUCUGGGAAACUGCCUGAUGGAGGGGGAUCACUACUGGAAACGGUAGCUAAUACCGCAUACCAUCGGAUGUGCCCAGAGUGGAUUAGCUAGUAGGUGGGGUAACGGCUUACCUAGGCGACGAUCCCUAGCUGGUCUGAGAGGAUGACCAGCCACACUGGAACUGAGACACGGUCCAGACGCAUACGGGAGGCAGCAGUGGGGAAUAUUGCACAAUGGGCGCAAGCCGGAGGCAGCCAUGCCGCGUGUAUGAAGAAGGCCUUCGGUUUGUAAAGUACUUUCAGCGGGGAGGCGGUACCCGCAGAAGAAGCAACGGCUAACUCCGUGCCAGCAGCCGCGGUAAUUC